AGAGUUUGAUCAUGGCUCAGGACGAACGCUGACGGUGUGCUUUAGGCAUGCAAGUCGAACGAGAAAGCCCUUCGGGGUGAGUAAAGUGGCGAACGGGUGAGUAACACGUGGGCAACCUGCCCCUCGCAGGGGGACAACCGGAGGAAACUCCGGCUAAUACCCCGUAAGCUCUACACGCCGCAUGGCGAGUAGAGGAAAGGUAGCUUCGGCCAUCCGGCGAGGGAUGGGCCCGCGGUGCAUUAGCUAGUUGGUGGGGUAACGGCCCACCAAGGCGACGAUGCGUAGCUGGUCUGAGAGGAUGAUCAGCCACACUGGGACUGAGACACGGCCCAGACUCCUACGGGAGGCAGCAGCCAGGAAUCUUGGGCAAUGGGCGAAAGCCUGACCCAGCAACACCGUGUGGGUGAUGAAGGCCUUCGGGUCGUAAAGCCCUGUUGAUAGGGACGAAGGGCGAAGGGUUAAUAGCCCGGAGCUUGACGGUACCUUUCGAGGAAGCCCCGGCUAACUACGUGCCAGCAGCCGCGGUAAUACGUAGGGGGCGAGCGUUGUCCGGAAUUAUUGGGCGUAAAGAGCGUGUAGGCGGUUCGGUAAGUCUGUCGUGAAAUCCUGGGGCUCAACCCUGGGCGUGCGAUGGAUACUGCCGGGCUAGAGGGUGGUAGAGGCGAGUGGAAUUCCCGGUGUAGCGGUGAAAUGCGCAGAUAUCGGGAGGGACACCAGUAGCGAAGGCGGCUCGCUGGGCCACACCUGACGCUGAGACGCGAAAGCUAGGGGAGCGAACAGGAUUAGAUACCCCGGUAGUCC
rnacentral:rRNA from 1 species